rnacentral:rRNA from 1 species
UACGUAGGUGGCAAGCGUUAUCCGGAUUUAUUGGGCGUAAAGGGAACGCAGGCGGUCUUCUAAGUCUGAUGUGAAAGCCUUCGGCUUAACCGGAGUAGUGCAUUGGAAACUGGGAGACUUGAGUGCAGAAGAGGAGAGUGGAACUCCAUGUGUAGCGGUGAAAUGCGUAGAUAUAUGGAAGAACACCAGUGGCGAAAGCGGCUCUCAGGUCUGUAACUGACGCUGAGGUUCGAAAGCGUGGGGAGCAAACAGG